UUCCCACCAAGGGAGAAACUAAACCGCCGGCGGUUCUCAACAAAAGAAAAAAAAAACUAAACCACCGGCGGCGCGAGGCGUUGGCGACAGGCGGCUGGAGAGGGAUUCACGGCGCAAGGCGGCAGCGACUGGUGACGUCAGCUCAGCUGCAACCUCACCGGCUCCCUCCUCUGCCUCGCCGCGACCACCCCACCCGUCUCCCUCCUCUACUUCGCCGCGAGAUCCAGAGGGAGCAAGCUCAGCCAGGAAGAUGAACCAGCCACCGGAACAGAGGAGGAGAAGCAGGGGCAGGAGAGAUUACGAGAUCACCAACCCAAUACUGGAUUGUGCAUCUUCCAGCAACCUAGAAGGUGGUGAGAAGUUUUCUACAAUAAAGGAGGUGGUGAGGUGACAGACCACCGUCACCAAUUGCGUCUUCUAUAGGAGCAAAGAGAUAGUCCGAUGUAUGAGUUACCAUUCUUCUUACAAUUUUAUUUCUUGUGGACAACUUUUUUUUGCAAAUAUGAGUUGAGAUCUGUGCUCGUUAUCAGUUUAUAAAAUGUAUAUCAUAACUGUUUCUGCUCCUGGUCCUGGAUGAAUGCAUGUGAAAGUAUGCAAGUCUGUAUA